rnacentral:rRNA from 1 species
CCGGCACGGGUGAGUAACACGUAUCCAACCUGCCGUCUACUCUUGGCCAGCCUUCUGAAAGGAAGAUUAAUCCAGGAUGGCAUCAUGAGUUCACAUGUCCGCAUGAUUAAAGGUAUUUUCCGGUAGACGAUGGGGAUGCGUUCCAUUAGAUAGUAGGCGGGGUAACGGCCCACCUAGCCAACGAUGGAUAGGGGUUCUGAGAGGAAGGCCCCCACAUUGGAACUGAGACACGGUCCAA